rnacentral:rRNA from 1 species
ACGCUCGACACCUACGGGAAGCAGCAGUAGGGAAUCUUCCACAAUGGGCGCAAGCCUGAUGGAGCAACACCGCGUGAGUGAAGAAGGGUUUCGGCUCGUAAAGCUCUGUUGUUGGAGAAGAACGUGCGUGAGAGUAACUGUUCACGCAGUGACGGUAUCCAACCAGAAAGUCACGGCUAACUACGUGCCCGCAGCCGCCGGUAAGUACUGAGCGGGCGUGGCGAAGGACG